CGUGUAGGUGGCUAAUUAAGUCAGGUGUGAAAUCCUUCCGCUUAACGGGAGAAGUGCACUUGAAACUGCUUAGCUAGAGUACGGGAGAGGAAGGUGGAAUUCCUGGUGUAGAGGUGAAAUUCAUAGAUAUCGGGAAGAACACCGGUGGCGAAGGCGGCCUUCUGGCCCGAUACUGACGCUGAGACGCGAAAGCGUGGGGAGCAAACAGGAUUAGAUACCCUGGUAGUCCACGCCGUAAACGUUGGGCACUAGGUGUGGGAGGUUUUUAUUCCUUCUUUGCCGAAGCUAACGCAUUAAGUGCCCCGCCUGGGGAGUACGGUCGCAAGGCUAAA
rnacentral:rRNA from 1 species